UACGUAGGUGGCGAACGUUAUCCGGAAUGAUUGGGCGUAAAGCGUCCGCAGGUGGCUAUGUAAGUCUGCUGUUAAAGAGUGAGGCUCAACCUCAUAAGAGCAGUGGAAACUACAUGGCUAGAGUGCGUUCGGGGCAGAGGGAAUUCCUGGUGUAGCGGUGAAAUGCGCAGAUAUCAGGAAGAACACCCGUGGCGAAGGCGGCUCUCUGGGACGGUACUGACGCUGAGACGCGAAAGCGUGGGGAGCGAACAGG
rnacentral:rRNA from 1 species